rnacentral:rRNA from 1 species
GACGAACGCUGGCGGCGUGCUUAACACAUGCCAUUCGAACGGAAAGGCCCUGCUUUUGUGGGGUGCUCGAGUGGCGAACGGGUGAGUAACACGUGAGUAACCUGCCCUUGACUUUGGGAUAACUUCAGGAAACUGGGGCUAAUACCGGAUAGGAGCUCCUGCUGCAUGGUGGGGGUUGGAAAGUUUCGGCGGUUGGGGAUGGACUCGCGGCUUAUCAGCUUGUUGGUGGGGUAGUGGCUUACCAAGGCUUUGACGGGUAGCCGGCCUGAGAGGGUGACCGGCCACAUUGGGACUGAGAUACGGCCCAGACUCCUACGGGAGGCAGCAGUGGGGAAUAUUGCACAAUGGGCGGAAGCCUGAUGCAGCAACGCCGCGUGCGGGAUGACGGCCUUCGGGUUGUAAACCGCUUUCGCCUGUGACGAAGCGUGAGUGACGGUAAUGGGUAAAGAAGCACCGGCUAACUACGUG